UCAAGUUAUUAAGGGUGCAGGGCGGAUGCCUUGGCACUAGGAGCCGAUGAAGGACGUGAUAAGCUGCGAUAAGCUUCGGGGGGAGUUGCACGUAAACUUUGAUCCGAAGAUUUCCGAAUGAGGAAACUCACUUAGAGUAAUGUCUAAGUAUCAUUAAGUGAAUACAUAGCUUAAUGAGGGGAACUCAGGGAACUGAAACAUCUAAGUACCUGAAGGAAGAGAAAGAAAUUCGAUUCCGUAAGUAGCGGCGAGCGAACGCGGAUUAGCCCAAACCAAUAAAGUUUUCUUUAUUGGGGUUGCGGACAUAUCAUAACGAAGAGGUAUCGUAAUUGAAGAGGUUUGGAAAGACCCACCACAGAAGGUAAUAGUCCUGUAUGUUAAACGAGAAGACUUUAGAUAUGAUCCAGAGUACCACGGGACACGUGAAACCCUGUGGGAAGCAGGAGGGACCACCCUCCAAGGCUAAAUACUACCUAGUGACCGAUAGCGUAUAGUACCGUGAGGGAAAGGUGAAAAGAACCCCGGGAGGGGAGUGAAAUAGAACCUGAAACCCUGCACUUACAAGCUGUGGAAGCACAUUUCUUGUGUGACCGCGUACUUUUUGUAGAACGGGCCAACGAGUUACGUUAAGUAGCAAGGUUAAGCACUUAAGGUGCGGAGCCGUAGCGAAAGCGAGUUUUAACUGAGCGUUCAGUUACUUGACGUAGACCCGAAACCGGGCGACCUACCCAUGAGCAGGAUGAAGCGAAAGUAAAAUUUCGUGGAGGUCCGAACCCACGAGCGUUGAAAAGCUCGGGGAUGACUUGUGGGUAGCGGUGAAAUUCCAAUCGAGCCCGGAGAUAGCUGGUUCUCCCCGAAAUAGCUUUAGGGCUAGCCUCAAGGUGAGAGAUACGGAGGUAGAGCACUGAAUGUCCUAGGGGGUAUUGCACCUACCGAAGACUAUCAAACUCCGAAUGCCGUCAUCUUAUACUUGGGAGUCAGACUGUGGGUGAUAAGAUUCAUAGUCGAAAGGGCAACAGCCCAGAUCGUCAGCUAAGGUCCCUAAAUGUAAGUUAAGUGGUAAAGGAUGUGGGAUUGCACAGACAACCAGGAUGUUGGCUUAGAAGCAGCCACUCAUUCAAAGAGUGCGUAAUAGCUCACUGGUCGAGUGAUCCUGCGCCGAAGAUUUCCGGGGCUAAAACUUACUACCGAAGCUACGGCAUCAGUAAUGAUGGGUAGGGGAGCUUCCCAUACGGGUUGAAGCAUGACCGUAAGGACAUGUGGACAGUAUGGGAGUGAGAAUGUUGGCAUGAGUAGCGAGAUGUGGGUGAGAAUCCCACAGGCCGUAAACCCAAGGUUUCCAGGGGAAGGUUCGUCCGCCCUGGGUUAGUCGGGACCUAAGCUGAGGCCGAAAGGCGUAGGUGAUGGACAACAGGUUGAUAUUCCUGUACUACCGAUAACCGUUUGAGAGAAGGGAUGACACAGUAGGAUAAGCUAAGCACACUGUUGGUUAUGUGUGCCCAAGCAUUGAGGCAGUCAAAGUAGGCAAAUCCGCUUUGAUAAUGCUGGGAUGUGAUGGGGAGCGAAAUUUAGUAGCGAAGUAGCUGAUUUCACACUGUCAAGAAAAGUCUCUAUCGAGGUUAAAGGUACCCGUACCGCAAACCGACACAGGUGGGUGAGGAGAGUAUCCUAAGGCCAGCGAGAGAACUGUUGUUAAGGAACUCGGCAAAAUGACCCCGUAACUUAGGGAUAAGGGGUGCCACCAUCAGGUGGCCGCAGAGAAUAGGCCCAAGCGACUGUUUACCAAAAACAUAGGUUUCUGCUAAGUCGCAAGACGAUGUAUAGGAGCUGACGCCUGCCCGGUGCUGGAAGGUUAAGGGGAUCUGUUAGAGCAAUCGAAGCAGUGAACUUAAGCCCCAGUAAACGGCGGCCGUAACUAUAACGGUCCUAAGGUAGCGAAAUUCCUUGUCGGGUAAGUUCCGACCCGCACGAAAGGCGUAACGAUUUGGGCACUGUCUCAACAACAGACUCGGUGAAAUUGUAAUUCCGGUGAAGAUGCCGGAUACCUGCGACAGGACGGAAAGACCCCAUGGAGCUUUACUGUAGCUUGACAUUGGGUCUUGGUACUACAUGUACAGGAUAGGUGGGAGGCUUUGAAACCAGGACGCCAGUUUUGGCGGAGCCAUCCUUGGGAUACCACCCUUGUAGUACUGGGACUCUAACCAUAGGCCAUGAAUCUGGUCUUGGGACACUGUCAGGUGGGCAGUUUGACUGGGGCGGUCGCCUCCCAAAAGGUAACGGAGGCGCUCAAAGGUUCUCUCAGUACGGUCGGAAAUCGUACGUAGAGUGUAAAGGCAAAAGAGAGCUUGAUUGCAAGACAUACAGGUCGAGCAAGGAUGAAAAUCGGACUUAGUGAUCCGGUGGUUCUGCGUGGAAGGGCCAUCGCUCAACGGAUAAAAGCUACCCUGGGGAUAACAGGCUUAUCUCCCCCAAGAGUCCACAUCGACGGGGAGGUUUGGCACCUCGAUGUCGGCUCAUCACAUCCUGGGGCUGUAGUAGGUCCCAAGGGUUGGGCUGUUCGCCCAUUAAAGUGGUACGCGAGCUGGGUUCAGAACGUCGUGAGACAGUUCGGUCCCUAUCCGUCGCAGGCGUAGGAAAUUUGAGAAGACCUGUCCUUAGUACGAGAGGACCGGGAUGGACGUACCUCUGGUGUACCAGUUGUCCUGCCAAGGGCAUGGCUGGGUAGCUAUGUACGGAAUGGAUAAGCGCUGAAAGCAUCUAAGCGCGAAGCCAACUUCAAGAUAAGAUUUCCCACCGCAAGGGUAAGACCCCAGAAAGACUAUCUGGUUGAUAGGUCGAAGGUGUAAGUGCAGCAAUGUAUUUAGCUUAUCGAUACUAAUAGGUCGAGGACUUGACCAA
rnacentral:rRNA from 1 species